UCCUCUCGGGAGGGCACACUGGGGAAUAUUUGACACAGUGCGCAAGCGCGAUCCAUACACACCGCGCGUGUGAAGAAACCCUCUUGGUUGUAAAGCCCUUUAAGCUCGGAGGAGACUCCAUUUGUUAAUACCUCGAGGGAUAGGACCUUACCCGCAGAAUAAGCCCCGGCUAACUUUGUGCCAGCAGCCGCGGUAAUACAGAGGGGGCCAGCGUUAAUUGGAAUUACUGGGCGUAAAGCGGUGGUCGGCGGCUUUUUAAGUACGAUGGGAAAUCCCCGGGCUUCACCCUGGAAUUGCCUUUGAUACUGGCAAGCUUGAAUAUGGGAGAGGGUGGUAGAAUUCCCGGUGUAGCGGUGAAAUUCGUAGAGAUUUGGAGGAAUCCCGGUGGCGAAGGCCGCUCCUCUGGCCUAAUAAUGACGCUGAGGUCCGAAAGCAUGGGGAGCAAACCGGAUUAGAUACCCUGGUAGUCCCCCCCGUAAACGAUGUUUACUAGCCGUUGGGGCCUUUGAGGCUUCAGUGGCGCAGCUAACGCGAUAAGUGCUCCGCCUGGGAGUCGUCGCAUGU
rnacentral:rRNA from 1 species